UACGUAGGGGGCAAGCGUUGUCCGGAAUCAUUGGGCGUAAAGAGCGUGUAGGCGGUCCGGUAAGUCGGCUGUGAAAGUCCAGGGCUCAACCCUGGGAUGCCGGUCGAUACUGCCGGACUAGAGUUCGGAAGAGGCGAGUGGAAUUCCCGGUGUAGCGGUGAAAUGCGCAGAUAUCGGGAGGAACACCUAUGGCGAAGGCAGCUCGCUGGGACGUUACUGACGCUGAGGAGCGAAAGCCAGGGGAGCAAACGGG
rnacentral:rRNA from 1 species